AAGUCCCCUUCCUACCACUUAGAAUCUAUGGACUGGGAGCAGGUUAGUUAAUCUCAUGAAACCUCCAUUUCCACAUGUGUGAGGUAUGUGAUUGUUGUCUCCACCCCUAGGGUGCUGUGGGGUUUAGAAGAGAUAGUAGUGCACAUAAUGUGCUUAGCACAGGGCCAGCCCACAGUAAGUGCUGGCUGUACUCGCCUUCUCUUUGCAGGGGUGGCUCAGGAGAGGGUGUAAUCAAAAGAUGAUUAUGAGGGUUCAAGCACCAGGCAAUGGGAGAGUCAGCAGGUUUUAAUGCUUCUACACAGGGGCUGGAUUCUUCUACUUCCGCUUACCGCUGACAGCUGAGGCCUGCUACCUCAAGCCCUGAAAUGCAAUCUGAAGACUUUUCCUGGACUUACUGGGCACCAUUGGACUGUACAGGGCUGUGGCAGACAGGAGCAGUGGAAAGAGAUUUGGAUGGGACGUCAGAACACCCAGAUUUUACUUCUUGGCUCUUCCACUUAUUAGCUGUAGGAAACUGCGGUUCUGAGAUGUGCCCUGGGUCACUGCCGAGGAGCGGACGGAGCCUGGGAGGGAGGUACCCCUGCCUUGUUUCCUCACACUUUAUGGGGUGGGUGUCAGGAAUGAGGCUGGAGGGGAAGGCAAAACCAGAUCCCUAAGAGCCCCCUGGACCCUGCUUAGGGUGUUUACUUCUAUCAUAAAGGCUGUGCUUCUGUAGAGACCUAAGGUGGAGAGUGCCAAGGUCAGGUUUGCAUUUGAGAAAAAUUUUUCUGGCAGCAAUAUAAAGAAUGGUUUAGCAAAAGAAAUGAGAAUAGCUGGAAACCCAGUUAGGAGGCUGUGGUAGUCCAGGAGCACACUAAGGCAGCAACAAUAGGUGGAUGGAAACUGGAGCAUUUAGGUAAGGGAGAGGUAUGCCGGAGGAAGUGAUGGUGAGGGAGAGGGGAGAGAGUGGGACUCCACCGCACCAGGGCUUCUGGCUUUAUUGACUGGGUAUAUGGUGGCAUCUUGGGCCAAGACAGUGAGUCACAGGGAAGGGGCUUUGAGCCUGGUAAGCUUGGGGCACUUUUGAGACAUUGGGAGGAAAUGACACAUGGCAGUUGACAUACAGAUCUAGACGUCAGGAGAAAAGUCAGGGCUGGAGAUUUUCGGUUUACAGUUGAAGGUAUGAGUAGGAAUGAGAUCAUUUACUCAGUCCAUCCCACCACACUGAGCACCAUGAAUCAGGGGCUUCUCUCCCCAUGGGGCAAGAGAGGUGAAAAGACAGUCAAAGUCACUACUUUCAGGAGGAUUAGGCUCAAGUUAGGAUGGGGAGGUGGAGAAGGCAUCAAACAAAUAAAUGAAAACUAUAACUUCAGUUAUUGCCAAGUGCUAGGAAUAUAACGUUGCUGUUAAACUGCAAGGUGGCUAACAAGUUGGAUAGUCUUUCUUGAAGAACUGUAGAAACAGUCAUUAAAAAAAAUAAUUUUAUAGUUAAGCAAGAAAGUGAUUGUACUAUAACAAGGGAGACUUAUUUCACCAUAGGAAAAAAAUCAUAACAUUCUAAGAAUAGAAGGAAAAAAUAACAAUUACCCAAGCCUGCAAGAACCUGUAAGACCAGAUCAGCUUUUAAGAGGAAAGUUAAUUAGAUAACAGGAAGAGGUAAAAAUGAGUAGAUCAUCAGAGAUGGGGGAAAAGGCAAAUUUAGAAAUUCUGAAUUUAGUAGGGGAGACAAGUAUGUAGGAAUGUAAACAUAUUGCGCUUUCUCUGCAUAAACACAUUCACAUGACGAUGUAUACACAACCCUUGGAGGCACAGGUACUCAGUGAAUGCCUGCGUGCCAAGGAGGGGGACAGCACUGAGCAGGAGAGGUGGCAGGGCCUGGUGGCCCAGGAGCACUCAUAUAGUCAGGAGACUGAUAUAAAAGAGAGACCCUGCUAACAUGCCAUUACAGAGUAUGGAAUGAGCAAGGAAGGAAGAGGGUGAGGCUGUAAGAGAGUGCACAGGGCCCUCAUUUAAAUGGACGGGCCACCAGCCAGCACUUCAUGCCUGUUCCUAGAUGACCCACAAAGUGAAACGAAACUGGAUGUGGUAUUUAGCAAGUCUGAGAUUUGCUGGUUUAAGUACUAAGUUAGCAAAGCAGCCUUGGCAGCCAGAGCAGGUAGGGUAGGGGGCCAGAGGAGAUGGGUGUAUCCAGGUGGCCAAUGGAGGAAGGAGAGGAAGGUUUUCUGGGAAGCCGGCUGACAUGUCAUGCUUUGUCAGUGGGGCCUCCGCAUGGAUUCCCUCCACUCCCCCCAAACCCCCAACUCACUACGGGGAGCUGCACAAUGACAGACAAUGGGUGGUUUUGUACCCAGCAGCUACUCCUCAACCAGUGAGGAAUGGGAGAGAGAUAAGAAGGUGAGAAACAAGGAUUGCUUGUCACCAUCCCUGCUCCUCCUGAAGCCCUGCGCUGGGAGCAGGUUCAGAACCCGCUGAAGGUCACCUAAUCAUUUCACCAUGGAGUUCUUCCCCAGAUGUGAAACUGCUGGGACUGGAGCAAAGGGUGCCCAAAACUGACUGGAGGAGGAAGCCAGAGCCACACUGGAACGUAUGGAGACGCUAGCUCCUGCCUGCUAUUGAGGAUCUUCAUCUUCCCAGAAGAAUUAGAGGACCACAGGAGUGCUUGGGAAGAAGAAAUUGUGGGAACCUAGAUCGCGGCUUGAAUCAUGGGAUCUGAAAUGUGGGUUUAUGAGAGAAAAACAACAUGGAAAAAUUGGGCAGAGGCUGGUAAAUGUGAACAUUCGAACCUGCCCCCGAUCUGAGAUGGUGGGACAGUGGACCCCUGGCCAGCUCUCCAGGUGUUGCGUAUGCACAUUGGCAAACCACCUUUAUUAGGUGGUGUGACAUCUGGGUAGCAAUUCUCAACCAAUAUGAUGAUCUGAAUGUCCCUGGGCCUGACCCAGGUGAGGAGGACACAAAAUCAUGGAAUAUGUCUCAUAGAGCUUAGUCGGUUUUGGGAAAUACUGGACUAAUGUUAUGUUUUUAAAGCACCUAAU